rnacentral:misc_RNA from 1 species
CAACCCUCAAGCACUGCUUGGUGUUGGGGUCCUACGGCUGCCGUAGGCCCUGAAAGCUAGUGGCGGGCUCGCUAUACCUCCGAGCGCAGUAGUAACAUAUCUCGCUAGGGAGUCGUGGCGGGUUCCGGCCGUGAAAGCCCCAUCUUUUACACAA